AGAUACUUUCUGACAUUUGAACAUCAUAUCCUUCUGCUGAGCCUCAAAGAAGCUCUACGGAUUCUUGGUCUUUUCGGCAACAGAAAGCAUCAGAGCGCUAGGAAGAAGCAAGACCAUACAACCUCAAAUGCCUUAUUAAAAAAGAGGCCGUUGGUCAUUCUUUGUGUUGUCUUUGCCACGAGCCUGCUGUUAUUAGGUGCAAAGAGUGUCUUCCUGUGGAGUGGUUCUGUGGAGACUGUGAUGUACUGCAUCACAAACAACAGCCACUCCACAACAGAGAAUGUGUUUUCAUGGAUUUUUGGAAGCCAUUCCUCCAACCUCACAUGUUGUCAACGGUGAAGAUCGAUAUUGAAUCCAUGAGCAAGCUUGCAUAUUGCCAUAUGUGAAGGUGGGACAAUGUUCCUGUGAAGGCACAAACUUCACUGUGGUUCCAGGCAAAGCAGGCGUUUUGACUUGCAUCUGCCAAUAUAUAUUUGCCAAACAUGCCAGCAUCAGUGGACCCCUGACUUGAAAGACCUACUUAGGAGUGGAUAUUGGCCUGGCUCAGUGACCAGUUCAACAUUUUAUACUCUGGACCUCCUGAGCUCCUUUCAGGAACUCCAAGUCAUCCCUCCAGGCAAGCCUUCGCAAAGCUGCUGGAGCAUCGCACUAAGAUUGGAGGAGGAGUAAGACUGUUACCAGACAAAACAAAUCCUGUAGAUCUGAAAAUGUGAGACUGGACAAAUUAACGGCGAUACACUACAGUGCAGCUUCUUAGAUUAUCCAUAUGCUUCAUUAGAGGAAGACCAGCUCUGCUGUAGGGCACCUUUCACCUGCCCAGCCUGCAUGCCAGAAAUGUUGGCUGUUUCAGCAGAUGGAAACAAAAACUUUAUCGCUUUCGCCGAGA